rnacentral:rRNA from 1 species
UACGUAGGCGGAUCGACAAGUUGGGGGUGAAAUCCCGGGGCUUAACCCCGGAACUGCCUUCAAAACUGUCGAUCUAGAGACCGGGAGAGGUAAGCGGAAUUCCUAGUGUAGAGGUGAAAUUCGUAGAUAUUAGGAAGAACACCAGUGGCGAAGGCGGCUUACUGGACCGGUACUGACGCUAAGGUACGAAAGCGUGGGGAGCAAACA